UACGUAGGGCGCAAGCGUUAUCCGGAAUUAUUGGGCGUAAAGAGCUCGUAGGCGGUUUGUCGCGUCUGCCGUGAAAGUCCGGGGCUCAACUCCGGAUCUGCGGUGGGUACGGGCAGACUAGAGUGAUGUAGGGGAGACUGGAAUUCCUGGUGUAGCGGUGAAAUGCGCAGAUAUCAGGAGGAACACCGAUGGCGAAGGCAGGUCUCUGGGCAUUAACUGACGCUGAGGAGCGAAAGCGAGGGGAGCAAACAGG
rnacentral:rRNA from 1 species